rnacentral:rRNA from 1 species
UACGAAGGGGGCUAGCGUUGCUCGGAAUCACUGGGCGUAAAGCGCACGUAGGCGGCUUUUUAAGUCAGGGGUGAAAUCCUGGAGCUCAACUCCAGAACUGCCUUUGAUACUGAGAGGCUCGAGUCCGGGAGAGGUGAGUGGAACUGCGAGUGUAGAGGUGAAAUUCGUAGAUAUUCGCAAGAACACCAGUGGCGAAGGCGGCUCACUGGCCCGGUACUGACGCUGAGGCGCGAAAGCGUGGGGAGCAAACAGG